GAUGAACGCUGGCGGCGUGCUUAACACAUGCAAGUCGAACGGUGAACGAGGGAGCUUGCUCCCUCCGGAUCAGUGGCGAGCGGGUGAGUAACACGUGAGCAAUCUGCCCCGAACUCUGGGAUAAGCGCUGGAAACGGCGUCUAAUACCGGAUACGACGCGCGAAGGCAUCUUCUGCGCGUGGAAAGAAUUUCGGUUCGGGAUGAGCUCGCGGCCUUUCAGCUAGUUGGUGAGGGAACGGCUCACCAAGGCGACGACGGGUAGCCGGCCUGAGAGGGUGACCGGCCGCACUGGGACUGAGACACGGCCCAGACUCCUACGGGAGGCAGCAGUGGGGAAUAUUGCACAAUGGGCGCAAGCCUGAUGCAGCAACGCCGCGUGAGGGACGACGGCCUUCGGGUUGUAAACCUCUUUUAGUGGGGAAGAAUCCCUUCCGGGCUAAUAUCCUGGGAGGAUGACGGUACCCACAGAAAAAGUUCCGGCUAACUAC
rnacentral:rRNA from 1 species